ACGCUCGACACCUACUGGAGGCAGCAGUGGGGGAUAUUGCACAAUGGAGGAAACUCUGAUGCAGCGACGCCGCGUGAGGGAAGAAGGUUUUCGGAUUGUAAACCUCUGUCUUCGGUGACGAAAAUGACGGUAGCCGAGGAGGAAGCCACGGCUAACUACGUGCCAGCAGCCACGGUAAUCUGAGCGGGCUGGCAAGGC
rnacentral:rRNA from 1 species